ensembl:rRNA 5S_rRNA 5S ribosomal RNA
GCUUACAGCCAUACCACUCUGACCACGCCCAAUCUCAUCUGAUCCCGGAAGCUAAGCAGGGAUGGGCUAGGUUAGUACUUGGAUGGGAGAUAGCCUGGGAAUACCAGGUGCUGUAAGCU